AGAUGAGGAGAUGGAUAGGUAGAUGUGUAGAUGGUAGAUGGGUAGGUGGAUGGGUAGGUGGGUCAGUAGUUGAAUGUACAUGUUUAGUUAAUCACUGGAGACUUCCUAAUGUGCUUGUUGUAUUGAAAACUUCUUGAUAACUAGAGUUGCAUUUCAGCUACAUCCAUAUUAAAGUAUCCAUAUUAUGAAUAUUUUAAUAACAAUCCCAUUAAUU
rnacentral:lncRNA from 1 species